ensembl:lncRNA
AGUAAAGUGGAUGUGGCUUAUGUAAGGAAGUAUUUGUACUGUGGAAGUGAUAUAGAAGAUCUAUAGUAAAAACAAAUACUCACUUGGGCUACAUAAUGUGAGGUGAACUGGAACAAACUGCUCAGACCUGCUUGUCCCUGCUGUUCUAGAAACUUGAAACAACUCCUGUUUCACUAUCUGCAGAAGGGUGAGAUGGAAACAGAUACCGAAGAAGAGUCCAAAUCUCUCCACAUGUUGAUCCAUCUCACUCAUCAUGCUCUCUAUAUCACAUCCAAAAUGAAGAACUCUUCUGCAGAGAUCACUUCAGGAAAUCUUCUAGAAAGAAAAUAAAAUCAAGUACACACAAGAAGAGACUACCAGAAAGAUAUGUGCUCUGUUCUCAGUCUAGUGAAAAGUGAUAAAAAAAGAUGUAGAUCUGCAGUUUCCGACAGGACAGCUUAUUCACACCAAGCUGAAGGAAAGUUAGGUUUGUACUGUGGGUGCUUUGGAUGGACAUGGACUCUGGGAGGAUUCCAUUACAAACAUACAAUCAAACAAGCAAAAGUAUAGCUAUUUCCACUGGAAUUCUUGAGAUGCAGUUCUGGGGAGAAGGUUAUAUUACAUGAAUGCGGCUUUUACACAGACACUGUUUUAGAAGUGUGGUUCAAAGACCUGCCAUGUGGAAACAAAUACAAGCAGAGCUCAACUACUGAUGGGUGCUAAAGGAUGAAAUAAGGUGAGCGGAGCCUGAAAUUCAGGACACAUUCCAGUGUGUUACUUGGAUUCAUGUCACUGUUUGUUUUUUUUUAAUUUCUUGCUUCAUUCUGAUCCUCAAUGAAGCAUUGGUAGGUCUUGUCAGACUCUGGAAUAUUAAGCAAGAAACCCAGUGUUGGUAGAAGGACUUUUUUUGUAGAGAAGUUCAGUUGAAAAGCAACAGACAAACAAAAGUUGAAAUCGAGAAAUUAGGAAUAACUCAUGUAGCAAAAAAAAAAAGAGUUAAGACUUUAAAAACACUACGAUUUUCACAUUGGUUUCAUAAUGAAGAUAGCGAUUUUGAUAAUUUGUCUGCCUUAUCCCUGUAAAUGUUUAUAUCAACUGAGAAAAAAAAUAGAUACCUCAGAGAUGUGGUGUUCAGACAAGUUUCAUGAAAAUCAGUCACUGAAUACAUGGGAAGACUCAAAAGAAGGCUCUCCUGACAGAAGGGCUGAAGCCUGAGUUCACCAUUGUUUCUUUUUUAGCUAGAGGGCAACCAGAGUGCACAUACAGGCUGGGUAGCCAGCACGCUCAGUUUGACACUAGCCACAGCAUGUUGCAGAUGCCUUUACCAGGACUUAACAUAGGGCAAAAGGAUCUGGGAUUUCAGUAUAAGAUGUGACAAAAGAGAAGAGAAUUAGAGACAUUUCAGGGAGAUAUAAUAUGCAGUGCGGGCAAAAGUUUGUGGAAAUGGGUUUUUACUACCUGUGUUGUUUGAGGAAUGACUUACCGAACGUGUAUGAAAAAGCUGUAGAGGGGGGUUUAUGGCAUCAGCAGUGAUAAUAUGAUAAACUAUGAUAAUCAUUAAAAAACCUACACUAUUUUUCCAGUGUGAUGGAGGGAAAAGUCUUUUUUUCUUCCUCUCUGAAAAAAUCACAUUUUUUUUCCAAUAAUAUCAUACAAUAGAUUAAAAAAGAAUGUUUCAAUUACAUAAAACUAGUAUACACUUUUAAAAGCAUGUUAUACAUAUGCUGUUAAUUUCACUUUAAAGCUCCAGGGGAAGGUAGAAGUUUAUUUGAAUCUGAGGGUGAUGCCAUCUGUGAUUUGAAUUUUAAUAACACUCCCUUGAAGCUCUCAGGAAUUGUUUUGCGUUAGGAAUAAGAAAUUCAGAAAUAAGGGAGUGGCUGACAAAUAUUUUGUUCACAAACAAUGCUCUCUAAUAGUGGCAGUAGUAAUCAUGUUAAGUGUUUCAAAUCCGGAGACUGAAGAGAAAUGUCUAACAUGAGAGGGCUUUUCAGUCCGUGAACCAGGCAGAGGAUGAAGCAACCAAGACUAGAGUCAGUAUAUCAAAGGGUGCAAAACCUGUCUGGAGCUUGUUUAAUAAACUGGCAUCAAAUUUUCAAAAACAGCCUAAAUGAUAGGAAUGGAGAUAAGAGAGGACAUGCGGCUUGUAGCUCCUCUCCUCUAAUCCGAAUGCUGCACCAGCUGUGUGAAUAUGAAUAGUACUACAGUCAUGUAUUCAUGCGUAAUAUUUUCACUUUUGCAAAAUUUGUGCUCAGCAAUGAAGCUUUUAAAAAUACAAAUUGAAACUGAAGACUUCAUUUGGAUAACAGUGUGGAUUUUUACUUUAUUUGUUUGUUUUCUUAUGUUUGGUUUGAAGGAGAACUGAAAGAAUGAAAAAGAAACAAUUUUACAUCAAGAUGGAAUAUGUAUUUCAGUAGUUGUUAAGUAUAGCUGAGUUCUGUUCUAGGAAAUUAAAAUAUUUUUCUUUAAUUCUUC